rnacentral:rRNA from 1 species
CCUGAACGCUGGCGGCGUGGCUAAGACAUGCAAGUCGCACGGCCGUAGCGAAUACGGCAGUGGCGAACGGGUGAGUAAUGAAUCGCUAACGUACCCCGGACUCCGGGAUAGCCAUCCGAAAGGGUGGGUAAUACCGGAUGACAUGACCGAACCGCAUGGUUUGGUCCUCAAAGGUCCGCCGGUCUGGGAGCGGGCGAUUUCGUAUCAGCUAGUUGGUGAGGUAACGGCUCACCAAGGGCUGACGCGUAGCCGGACUGAGAGGUUGGCCGGCCACAUUGGGACUGAGACACUGCCCAGACUCCGUACGGGGGCUGCAGUAACGAAUCUUCCGCAA